GGGGGUGUAGUUCAGUUGGCAGAACACCCGCUUUGCAAGCGGGAUGUCGCAGGUUCGAUGCCUGUCACCUCCA
rnacentral:tRNA from 1 species